UACAGAGGUCUCAAGCGUUGUUCGGAUUCAUUGGGCGUAAAGGGUGCGUAGGCGGCGCGGUAAGUCGGGUGUGAAAUCUUGGAGCUUAACUCCGAAACUGCAUUCGAUACUGCCGUGCUUGAGGACUGGAGAGGAGACUGGAAUUUACGGUGUAGCGGUGAAAUGCGUAGAUAUCGUAAGGAAGACCAGGUGGCGAAGGCGGGUCUCUGGACAGUUCCUGACGCUGAAGCACGAAGGCCAGGGGAGCAAACGGGG
rnacentral:rRNA from 1 species